GCAAGUCGAGCGCACCCUUCGGGGCGAGCGGCGGACGGGUUAGUAACGCGUGGGAACGUACCCUUUUCUACGGAAUAGCCUCGGGAAACUGAGAGUAAUACCGUAUAAGCCCUACGGGGGAAAGAUUUAUCGGGAAAGGAUCGGCCCGCGUUAGAUUAGAUAGUUGGUGGGGUAAUGGCCUACCAAGUCUACGAUCUAUAGCUGGUUUUAGAGGAUGAUCAGCAACACUGGGACUGAGACACGGCCCAGACUCCUACGGGAGGCAGCAGUGGGGAAUCUUAGACAAUGGGCGCAAGCCUGAUCUAGCCAUUACGCGUGUGUGAUGAAGGUCUUAGGAUCGUAGAGCACUUUCGCCAUGGAUGAUAAUG
rnacentral:rRNA from 1 species